rnacentral:lncRNA from 1 species
CUUCCUCGUAGGGACAGCUGGCCACACAGCAGUAUAUAUACAGUGAUGCGCUGCUCUGGGUCACAUCUGUCUGCCAGGAGAUCCUGCUGUCUACCUAGGACGGGACAAGCCAACAUAAGAGAGACCCACAUCCCUCCUAGCAAUAAGGACACAGAGAAGAUGCCAUAUCUGAAACUGGGAGACAUAGAGCUGCCUCUGAAGCUGCAAGUGACCGUCUACUGACUGCAAGUUGCCCAGUCUGGGUUUGAUGCAGUGGCCAUCACAGACACAGACAGCGUUAAUGGGUGGAUCCUUCUUUGCUUCAUCUCCUCUACCUUCCCUCCUCUCUGCACAUGCAAAAAAUGAGGGUUGAUGUUUUUAUUCAUGCUAUAGAAAAAUAUUAGCAUAUGUUUAUUGGACCCACUUUCUCCAGUGUGUGCCAUCCCCAUGAUGUCCCCCAGGUAGGGGGUCUCAGCUCUGCAUCUCUGCUAGAUGCUCCAUAGAAAGUGACCUUCCUUCUCCUCAUAGGAGACUGUGAGGAGGAACCUCCAAGAAGCCCAAGAUGGACCUCUCUAAGCAGCUUCAAAAGUGGUCACCUUCAGGGAUGCAGAGCCGGGGCCCAAGCGCUCCACUUCCUCACAUGCCUCUGAACCCCCACCCCGCCCCAAGUUAGAAGCUGAAGGCCGAACAAAGACCUCCGCAAAGGCCACAGAAAGUGGCUCAUAGCUAAUUCUGCUCAGGCUGGCUGAAGUGGCACCGCCAGACCCAAGAGCUCCUGGCUGAGUCGUCUGGCAGGAGCUUCAAAGCCCUUUGAGGAUCCAGGCCAAGUUUCCUGCUCAUUUAAAAACAGA